UCGGAAACAUGUGAGAUGGGGACACACCCAGCAGGAUCUGCCCGACAAUCCUGAGCGAUUUGACACUGAGAUCUGUGUGCUGGGCUGUGAGGGAUUCACCCUGGGGAGACAUUCCUGGGAGAUGGAGAUGUGAUUUUUGAAGAUAGUCAUGGAAAUUUUUUUCUCCUGAACUGGUUGUGUCACUGAACUCUAAUGAGGAUAUGCAUGUAUGUCACUCUGGGUUUGUCUACACUGCAAUGUAAGCCCAAGGAUUUUGGGUCUGGAGUCAGCUGGCCCAUGUUGGAGAACCCUGGGCUUGAGCAUCUAUACUGGUUCUUAACCCUACACUAAGACAUUUCUAACCUAGGCUCAAAUCUGGGGCUCUGGUGUCCACACUGCAGCAUGUAGACCUGAGUCCAACCAACCCUAGCCCAGAUUCCCCAACACCAGCCUGAAAUGUGGCCGCUGUGGCCCUUUGAGCAUGUUACAGUGUAGCAAAACUUUUCUGCCCACCCUUCUUGUUACAGGAAGUUUGAACAGCCCGCCAACACAGAGUGCCGAGGAGUGAUUUUGGUCUGUGUGUGCCAAGCUACCAGAGCCAGCAACAUGGAGAAGGCACCUUUUGAAGAAAUCCUCUCGCUUGCACUUUCACUCCUGCAUCAGAAAAAGGACAGAGCUUCCUUGAAGUGCUGGUGAACAUGUGAGAGGACUUUUCUGCCCCACCAAAGGUCUCCUCACGACAUUAUCUAAGGAGGAAGGAGAAGAUCAUCUUCUGUUUUCAGCAGAGGAGAGAAAACUGCUAUAGAAUCAAACUUUAACAAAAACUGACAAAGUCGUCUUUCCCCCUGAAGACAAAGCUCCCAGGACAGCCUGAUCACUAGGAUAGCUGACAAUAAAAAUUCCUAUCAAAUCGUACAUCAGGAAUAAGGAGGUCUGUGUGGGGAAGAGGCUGUGUUCAGUGCUUAAAUUUGUGCCAGCAUUGAGCCCCGGCAUCUCUAGGCUUGGCAGUUUGUAGAUCUGGUACCUCUGGGCUUGCUUCAUCAAUUAUGAAUGUAGAAAAUACUGCUUGAGCCCCGGAACCUCUUUCAUUACACAUUAAGCACUGGAUGUAUAUAAGAGCAGACCCAUAGAGCAGCAGGUGAAACCGGUGUGGGAAGUUUUGUGCAUCUUUGUCGUC